AUACUCCCUCCGUCCUAAAAAAAGACAAACCCUGGGUUUCCGUGUCCAACUUUGACUAUCCGUCUUAUAUGAAAUUUUUUUAUAAUUCGUAUUUUCCUUGUUGUUAUAUGAUAAAACAUGAUUAAUAUUUUAUGCGUGACUUAUCUUUUUAAUAUUUUCAAAUAAGACGGACAUUCAAACGUUGGGCACGGAAACCAGGGUUUAUCUUUUUUUGGAACGGAGAGAGUAGA
rnacentral:pre_miRNA from 1 species